UGCCUACGUCACCAGGCAGCCACGUCACCGGCUCACGUCCGCGUGAGCCUACGUCACCAGGCAGCCACGUCGCGGGCUCACAUCCACGUGAACCUACAUCACCAGGCAGCCAGGUCACCAGGCAGCCAUGUUGCCAGCUCCGCGUCCACGUGAACCUACGUCACCAGGCAGCCACGUCGCAGGCUCAUGUCCGCGUGUGCCUACGUCACCAAACAGCCACGUCACCAGGCGGCCACAUCACUGGGAGUGGCCAGUCUGGGCUGCGCAGCGAGGCGCGAACAUUGCAGGGCCUCCACUCUGAAACAGGGAAGUAAUAAUUCCAAUGCAUCUGGUGACUAAGAAGUAGGAGCGGUGACAGUUGGGUGACUCCAAAAUGCCUUCCAAACUUACUUCUACAUCAUCUCCCCUCCCUCUCAACCUGCUCACAAAUCGCACAUGUAGCCAUGGUGGGGUCACUGCCCCCGCAGCCGGCAUCCGGGAGGGCACCAGAGGACGCCGCGCUGCCGUGACACGGGGCUCCAGGGACUUAACUAGGCUGCCUCGAAGCCUGUGUGUGACAGGUACUGGAAGCGCGGCUCAAGGACUGUAAGGCUCAUCUGCUCCUGGGGUGAGGCCACAGAUGUCCACCUAGAGUAGGAGAACUUUGAGAUCAUCAGACCAGGUCUCCAUCUUCUGCCAAAGCGAGUUCACUGCUUAUCAAUUUCCCUGUACUUUUAAAAUAAAGAAAAAAUGGUGGCCAUCCUCCAGCCACCUGUCAAGGGUCACCUCUGCUGUGAACCCCACCCAGAGCUGCCCCCACAGUCCCCAGACAGCUUCUAAGUGAAGAGAGGAACGGCAGAAAACCUGGUUUUGGCAUGUAGAAGGCAACGUGCUUCAGGGCCACUGACCGACACAGAUGAUACACUACGGGCUUCCACUCGUGGAGAAUGCUCCCCUGGAGUCCCCCCAACCUGACAAUGUUACCGUGGAGAAGGGAGCAGUGGGGAUCCCUGCUCCAUGGCCCUGAGGCCACUCUGUCCACCCCGCCGCGCCGGCCUGUGCGCCUUCCAGGUGGUUCCUCGAUGAAACGGUGGUGGGGAGCCACACAGGACCUUCCCAGAGAGAAGGGGCUGGCCCUCACGAGGGUCAGAACAUCAGCUUCCCGCUUGGGUCCGUCCUCCACGCACAACCGACUGGGAAAGAGGACUCCCUGCGGUCUCACCUGCGGGGUCUGCUGACCGGCUCCUGGUGGUGGUGACCCACUCCUGCCUUCCAGUUGGUAGGCACGACAUCCACAGACUGGACCCGGACGUGGCUGCAGGACAGCCUGGCGGUUUAUACGCCAGCACCUCUCCGGCCACAGUUCCGAGUCGGGGCCGACCUAGGACCGCCUCCCUCCCACACGAUGCUACGUGAUUCCGUGAAGACGUGAGAGCCACUGUCAGGUCUCUGGAAGUGCACGCUAACAUCGGAAUGGGAGCCUUCAUCUUCACACAGGAGCCUCUGGAUUUUUAUAUGCAUAAUUUCAAGUCCGCGAUGAGAGGCGAGAACUGCCAGGAAGACUGCACAGACCUCGGGCCCUGUGGGGGUGUGAUGGGGACACCGAAGUCUUCAUUCUUCACGCAAAGUUUAACUGGGCUUUUGUCUGGAAAAGAGCUCUCCUCUGUUGUAACAGGCAGGGCCGCACCCGAACGGAGACACCACAGGAGACAGGGAACCAGCACCAUGAGCAGGCACCCCCACAUCCCACAGGUCUGUGUCUGGUCCUGCUGACCACUGACCAGCUGGCUGCCCUGCAGUCUCAUGUCAACUGUCCUGAGCCUUAGUCUCCCGACUGCAGAACAAGGCGGCCACCACCCCUCACCGGGCUGCAGGAACUAAGUGACAGGGCACCCUGACUCCCUGCUGCAGGCUUCCCUCCACCUUUUCCUCCCUUAGGUGGGAACCCUGCCCCGGGAAAGAACCUGUGAAACUCAUGUGCAUAAAGCCAUAAAUAAUUGUGUUACUA